GAAUAAGAUCAUCACUUAUUGGCUCUCCCACAUGGUCAAAUGAUUUUUCUCCACAUCUCAGCAUCCCUGCCUGAAAAUUUGGAAAACUUGAAACAAGCGAUUGGGUGAUUAUGCCCCCUGUGCCAAGAGUCUUCAUUCUGAGGAUGAAAUGUCUCCACAGGAGAAUUGGUUCCCAUUGAGACCCUGGGGUUGUAAGAACUUGGAACUCCUCAGAUGAAAGGCGUCUAGGAAAGUCAACUCUGGAGAUAAGAUAUCAUGUCACAACCCCAUCUGAACAAUUUAAAU